UCCUACGGGGGGCAGCAGUGGGGAAUAUUGCACAAUGGGGGAAACCCUGAUGCAGCAACGCCGCGUGAGCGAUGAAGGCCUUCGGGUUGUAAAGCUCUGUCUUCGCUGACGAUAAUGACGGUAAGCGAGGAGGAAGCCACGGCUAACUACGUGCCAGCAGCCGCGGUAAUACGUAGGUGGCAAGCGUUGUCCGGAAUUACUGGGCGUAAAGGAUGCGUAGGCGGUGAUUUAAGUGGGAUGUGAAAUACCCGGGCUCAACUCGGGAAUGGCAUUCCAAACUGGAUCGCUAGAGUGCAGGAGAGGAAAGUGGAAUUCCCAGUGUAGCGGUGAAAUGCGUAGAGAUUGGGAGGAACACCAGUGGCGAAGGCGACUUUCUGGACUGUAACUGACGCUGAGGCAUGAAAGUGUGGGGAGCAAACAGGAUUAGAUACCCUGGU
rnacentral:rRNA from 1 species